rnacentral:rRNA from 1 species
CAGUAGCCGCGGUAAUACAGAGGGUGCAAGCGUUAAUCGGAAUUACUGGGCGUAAAGCGCGCGUAGGUGGUUUGUUAAGUUGGAUGUGAAAGCCCCGGGCUCAACCUGGGAACUGCAUCCAAAACUGGCAAGCUAGAGUACGGUAGAGGGUGGUGGAAUUUCCUGUGUAGCGGUGAAAUGCGUAGAUAUAGGAAGGAACACCAGUGGCGAAGGCGACCACCUGGACUGAUACUGACACUGAGGUGCGAAAGCGUGGGGAGCAAACAGGAUUAGAUACCCGAGUAGUCCCUGUCUCUUAUAA